AAUCCAUAGGUUAAUGAGGCGAACCGGGGGAACUGAAACAUCUAAGUACCCCGAGGAAAAGAAAUCAACCGAGAUUCCCCCAGUAGCGGCGAGCGAACGGGGAGGAGCCCAGAGCCUGAAUCAGCAUGUGUGUUAGUGGAAGCGUCUGGAAAGGCGCGCGAUACAGGGUGACAGCCCCGUACACAAAAGCGCAUGUGCUGUGAGCUCGAUGAGUAGGGCGGGACACGUGGUAUCCUGUCUGAAUAUGGGGGGACCAUCCUCCAAGGCUAAAUACUCCUGACUGACCGAUAGUGAACCAGUACCGUGAGGGAAAGGCGAAAAGAACCCCGGCGAGGGGAGUGAAAAAGAACCUGAAACCGUGUACGUACAAGCAGUGGGAGCACAGGUUUACCUGUGUGACUGCGUACCUUUUGUAUAAUGGGUCAGCGACUUAUAUUCUGUAGCAAGGUUAACCGUAUAGGGGAGCCGCAGGGAAACCGAGUCUUAACCGGGCGUUAAGUUGCAGGGUAUAGACCCGAAACCCGGUGAUCUAGCCAUGGGCAGGUUGAAGGUUGGGUAACACUAACUGGAGGACCGAACCGACUAAUGUUGAAAAAUUAGCGGAUGACCUGUGGCUGGGGGUGAAAGGCCAAUCAAACCGGGAGAUAGCUGGUUCUCCCCGAAAGCUAUUUAGGUAGCGCCUCGUGAAUUCAUCUCCGGGGGUAGAGCACUGUUUCGGCUAGGGGGCCAUCCCGGCUUACCAACCCGAUGCAAACUGCGAAUACCGGAGAAUGUUAUCACGGGAGACACACGGCGGGUGCUAACGUCCGUCGUGAAGAGGGAAACAACCCAGACCGCCAGCUAAGGUCCCAAAGUCAUGGUUAAGUGGGAAACGAUGUGGGAAGGCCCAGACAGCCAGGAUGUUGGCUUAGAAGCAGCCAUCAUUUAAAGAAAGCGUAAUAGCUCACUGGUCGAGUCGGCCUGCGCGGAAGAUGUAACGGGGCUAAACCAUGCACCGAAGCUGCGGCAGCGAACGUAUCACUUAAAGCGAUUCAGCGGGUUACGAUUGACGGAGCGAAGCGACGUCAAAGCGUAUACAAAGUCGAGUCGGUUUAAGGAUACGUUCGUUGGGUAGGGGAGCGUUCUGUAAGCCUGUGAAGGUGGCCUGUGAGGGUUGCUGGAGGUAUCAGAAGUGCGAAUGCUGACAUAAGUAACGAUAAAGCGGGUGAAAAGCCCGCUCGCCGGAAGACCAAGGGUUCCUGUCCAACGUUAAUCGGGGCAGGGUGAGUCGACCCCUAAGGCGAGGCCGAAAGGCGUAGUCGAUGGGAAACGGGUUAAUAUUCCCGUACUUGGUGUUACUGCGAAGGGGGGACGGAGAAGGCUAUGUUGGCCGGGCGACGGUUGUCCCGGUUUAAGCGUGUAGGUGUGUGUUCCAGGUAAAUCCGGUUCACUUUAACACUGAGGCGUGAUGACGAGGCACUACGGUGCUGAAGCAACAAAUGCCCUGCUUCCAGGAAAAGCCUCUAAGCAUCAGGUAACAUCAAAUCGUACCCCAAACCGACACAGGUGGUCAGGUAGAGAAUACCAAGGCGCUUGAGAGAACUCGGGUGAAGGAACUAGGCAAAAUGGUGCCGUAACUUCGGGAGAAGGCACGCUGACAUGUAGGUGAAGUGAUUUACUCAUGGAGCUGAAGUCAGUCGAAGAUACCAGCUGGCUGCAACUGUUUAUUAAAAACACAGCACUGUGCAAACACGAAAGUGGACGUAUACGGUGUGACGCCUGCCCGGUGCCGGAAGGUUAAUUGAUGGGGUCAGCGCAAGCGAAGCUCCUGAUCGAAGCCCCGGUAAACGGCGGCCGUAACUAUAACGGUCCUAAGGUAGCGAAAUUCCUUGUCGGGUAAGUUCCGACCUGCACGAAUGGCGUAAUGAUGGCCAGGCUGUCUCCACCCGAGACUCAGUGAAAUUGAACUCGCUGUGAAGAUGCAGUGUACCCGCGGCAAGACGGAAAGACCCCGUGAACCUUUACUAUAGCUUGACACUGAACAUUGAGCCUUGAUGUGUAGGAUAGGUGGGAGGCUUUGAAGCGUGGACGCCAGUCUGCGUGGAGCCGGCCUUGAAAUACCACCCUUUAAUGUUUGAUGUUCUAACGUGGACCCGUGAUCCGGGUUGCGGACAGUGUCUGGUGGGUAGUUUGACUGGGGCGGUCUCCUCCUAAAGAGUAACGGAGGAGCACGAAGGUUGGCUAAUCCUGGUCGGACAUCAGGAGGUUAGUGCAAUGGCAUAAGCCAGCUUGACUGCGAGCGUGACGGCGCGAGCAGGUGCGAAAGCAGGUCAUAGUGAUCCGGUGGUUCUGAAUGGAAGGGCCAUCGCUCAACGGAUAAAAGGUACUCCGGGGAUAACAGGCUGAUACCGCCCAAGAGUUCAUAUCGACGGCGGUGUUUGGCACCUCGAUGUCGGCUCAUCACAUCCUGGGGCUGAAGUAGGUCCCAAGGGUAUGGCUGUUCGCCAUUUAAAGUGGUACGCGAGCUGGGUUUAGAACGUCGUGAGACAGUUCGGUCCCUAUCUGCCGUGGGCGCUGGAGAACUGAGGGGGGCUGCUCCUAGUACGAGAGGACCGGAGUGGACGCAUCACUGGUGUUCGGGUUGUCAUGCCAAUGGCACUGCCCGGUAGCUAAAUGCGGAAGAGAUAAGUGCUGAAAGCAUCUAAGCACGAAACUUGCCCCGA
rnacentral:rRNA from 1 species